rnacentral:rRNA from 1 species
AACAAACGCUGGCGGCGUGCCUAAUACAUGCAAGUCGAACGGGGAAAGCUUUCGGGUGAGUACUAGUGGCGCACGGGUGAGUAACGCGUGGAUAAUCUGCCUUAGAGUGGGGGAUAACUAGUCGAAAGAUUAGCUAAUACCGCAUAAGACCACAAGAACUGCGGUUCAAGAGGUCAAAGGUUUUUCGCUCUAAGAUGAGUCCGCGUAAGAUUAGCUAGUUGGUGAGGUAACGGCUCACCAAGGCAACGAUCUUUAACUGGUCUGAGAGGAUGAUCAGUCACACUGGAACUGAGACACGGUCCAGACUCCUACGGGGGGCAGCAGUGGGGAAUAUUGCACAAUGGAGGAAACUCUGAUGCAGCGACGCCGCGUGAGUGAUGAAGGCCUUCGGGUCGUAAAGCUCUGUCGCAGGGGAAUAACACAAUGAAUGUACCCUGUAAGAAAGGAUCGGCUAACUUUGUGCCAGCAGCCGCGGUAACAC